AAUAUCUUCAAAGUGUUUUGGUGAAUCCAAUCUUGACAUUUCUUGGACUUCACAAGUCCAGCUUGCAUGUGUCUCCCAUC